GAUGAACGCUGGCGGCGUGCUUAACACAUGCAAGUCGAACGGAAAGGCUCCUGCUUGCAGGGGUACUCGAGUGGCGAACGGGUGAGUAACACGUGGGUGAUCUGCCCUGCACUUCGGGACAAGCCUGGGAGACUGGGUCUAAUACCGGAUAGGACCACAUUUUGGAUGGUGUGGUGGAAAGUUUUUCGGUGUGGGAUGAGCUCGCGGCCUAUCAGCUUGUUGGUGGGGUAAUGGCCUACCAAGGCGUCGACGGGUAGCCGGCCUGAGAGGGUGUACGGCCACAUUGGGACUGAGAUACGGCCCAGACUCCUACGGGAGGCAGCAGUGGGGAAUAUUGCACAAUGGGCGCAAGCCUGAUGCAGCGACGCCGCGUGGGGGAUGACGGCCUUCGGGUUGUAAACUCCUUUCGCUAGGGACGAAGCGCAAGUGACGGUACCUGGAGAAGAAGCACCGGCUAACUACGUG
rnacentral:rRNA from 1 species